GACGAACGCUGGCGGCGUGCUUAACACAUGCAAGUCGAACGGAAAGGCCCUGCUUUUGUGGGGUGCUCGAGUGGCGAACGGGUGAGUAACACGUGAGUAACCUGCCCUUGACUUUGGGAUAACUUCAGGAAACUGGGGCUAAUACCGGAUAGGAGCUCCUGCUGCAUGGUGGGGGUUGGAAAGUUUCGGCGGUUGGGGAUGGACUCGCGGCUUAUCAGCUUGUUGGUGGGGUAGUGGCUUACCAAGGCUUUGACGGGUAGCCGGCCUGAGAGGGUGACCGGCCACAUUGGGACUGAGAUACGGCCCAGACUCGUACGGGAGGCAGCAGUGGGGAAUAGUGCACAAUGGGCGGAAGCCUGAUGCAGCAACGCCGCGUGCGGGAUGACGGCCUUCGGGUUGUAAACCGAUUUCGCCUGUGACGAAGCGUGAGUGACGGUAAUGGGUAAAGAAGCACCGGCUAACUACGUG
rnacentral:rRNA from 1 species